GGGCCGGUAGCGCAGCCUGGAGGCAUGCUGGGCUAUAGCGCGUCUGCCUUUUAAGCAGACGGUCACGGGUUCGAAUCCCGUCCGGCCCU
rnacentral:tRNA from 1 species